rnacentral:rRNA from 1 species
AUUGAACGCUGGCGGCAGGCCUAACACAUGCAAGUCGAGCGGAUGAGGAGUGCUUGCACUCCGAUUCAGCGGCGGACGGGUGAGUAAUGCCUAGGAAUCUGCCCGAUAGUGGGGGACAACGUUUCGAAAGGAACGCUAAUACCGCAUACGUCCUACGGGAGAAAGUGGGGGAUCUUCGGACCUCACGCUAUCGGAUGAGCCUAGGUCGGAUUAGCUAGUUGGUGAGGUAAUGGCUCACCAAGGCUACGAUCCGUAACUGGUCUGAGAGGAUGAUCAGUCAAACUGGAACUGAGACACGGUCCAGACUCCUACGGGAGGCAGCAGUGGGGAAUAUUGGACAAUGGGCGAAAGCCUGAUCCAGCCAUGCCGCGUGUGUGAAGAAGGUCUUCGAAUUGUAAAGCACUUUAAGUUGGGAGGAAGGGCUGUAGGCUAAUAUCCUGCAGUUUUGACGUUACCAACAGAAUAAGCACCGGCUAACUUCGUGCCAGCCGCCGCCGUAA